UCCUGUUUCCUCUUUCUUCACCUCUUCAUCCCAGCCAUCCGUUUCUUCCAGUAGUCUCAUCAACGACACUCGGAAUGAGGUCCUAGGUGCGGUUCCUGCAGUUCCAUCGUACCAUUCAUUGUUACUGGGCCUUUCUGGGCUUGGGCCUGGGUCAAUGCCUCCAUUAUCCGAAUCUAGCGCUGCCCUGAGGUGGCGUUCCGCGGCCAAAGCCGCCGCCAAGUUCAUCCCUGACACCGCCGGAGAAUGACUGAUGCACUCUGGGGUUACCUCGUUUUCCGGAGGCGCGUGGUUUACACUUAUUACUUCAAUUUGUGGUUCAUUUGGGCCAUACUCUUGUUCAUCGCACUCAAUUGUGAUAUUUGCUUGUGAUGCUUGUUAAUGAUCUCGUUCCAUGUCCUUAUUAAAUUCAUGAUUUGAGGUAUGCUUUUUAUUACCAUCGGUGUUAAAAUCAGUCUAUGUAGCCCACUCAUCUUUCAUUUAAUCUAUUAUUUAGGGUUACCUAAACUGAGGUUGUAGCCGCAAUGGGCUACGCAGCAUUACUCAAUUUUAAUAAAACACGCGUCUCAAAUUCAAAACAGAAUUCAUAAAUAUAAAUUUAGAAUUAAAUGACCUGAUAGAUCUAUUUGUAUUAUCAAUUGCACCUGGUGACAGACUGAUAAAAUAAGAUAAAAUAAAUAAAUAAAUGCAGUAUGAUGUAGAUGCCUAGAAAUUGAGAACUUGGGGGAAAACACAGUUCCUUUAUCUGGUAAAAGAAGUUUUUUGUUAUUCGUUAAUAAUCACAAGAUGGAAACUUAAUACUUUAUUGUAUUUCCACAAGAUUUCCCCUGUUACAGUAUCAAUCAAUUCGGACUUAAAAUUCGUAUGAGUGAAUUCCACAUUGUCAUAAAAUUCAUGACCAUAGUUUGAUUCAAAUCUAUCACAAACCUCAAGAAUCAAUCUGGCUGAUCUCAGUAAAUAUCGAGAAUUUCGAGAAUCAGACGGUUGCAAAGGGGACAAGUACCACGAUUCAACCACAACUCUCUUGAACAAAUUCUGCAAAAAGUGUGCCCACAUGGUAUAAAUGCUGCAUCUUUUUUCCUUCCCAUGCACACGCAGCACACUGAAUCACCACAUCGACCUUCUAGUCGUCCUCCUGUUUCCUCUUUCUUCACCUCUUCAUCCCAGCCAUCCGUUUCUUCCAGUAGUCUCAUCAAAGACACCCUGAAUGAGGUCCUAGGUGCGGUUCCUGCAGUUCCAUCGUACCAUUCAUUGUUACUGGGCCUUUCUGGGCUUGGGCCUGGGUCAAUUCCUCCAUUAUCCGAAUCUAGCGCUGCCCUGAGGUGGCGUUCCGCGGCC
rnacentral:lncRNA from 1 species